rnacentral:rRNA from 1 species
GACGUGCUAAUCUGCGAUAAGCGUCGGUGAGGUGAUAUGAACCGUUAUAACCGGCGAUUUCCGAAUGGGGAAACCCAGUGUGUUUCGACACACUAUCAUUAACUGAAUCCAUAGGUUAAUGAGGCGAACCGGGGGAACUGAAACAUCUAAGUACCCCGAGGAAAAGAAAUCAACCGAGAUUCCCCCAGUAGCGGCGAGCGAACGGGGAGGAGCCCAGAGCCUGAAUCAGUGUGUGUGUUAGUGGAAGCGUCUGGAAAGGCGCGCGAUACAGGGUGACAGCCCCGUACACAAAAAUGCACAUAUUGUGAGCUCGAUGAGUAGGGCGGGACACGUGGUAUCCUGUCUGAAUAUGGGGGGACCAUCCUCCAAGGCUAAAUACUCCUGACUGACCGAUAGUGAACCAGUACCGUGAGGGAAAGGCGAAAAGAACCCCGGCGAGGGGAGUGAAAAAGAACCUGAAACCGUGUACGUACAAGCAGUGGGAGCCUCUUAAUGGGGUGACUGCGUACCUUUUGUAUAAUGGGUCAGCGACUUAUAUUCUGUAGCAAGGUUAACCGAAUAGGGGAGCCGAAGGGAAACCGAGUCUUAACUGGGCGUUAAGUUGCAGGGUAUAGACCCGAAACCCGGUGAUCUAGCCAUGGGCAGGUUGAAGGUUGGGUAACACUAACUGGAGGACCGAACCGACUAAUGUUGAAAAAUUAGCGGAUGACUUGUGGCUGGGGGUGAAAGGCCAAUCAAACCGGGAGAUAGCUGGUUCUCCCCGAAAGCUAUUUAGGUAGCGCCUCGUGAAUUCAUCUCCGGGGGUAGAGCACUGUUUCGGCAAGGGGGUCAUCCCGACUUACCAACCCGAUGCAAACUGCG